AACUCCGGAUCUGCGGUGGGUACGGGCAGACUAGAGUGCAGUAGGGGAGACUGGAAUUCCUGGUGUAGCGGUGAAAUGCGCAGAUAUCAGGAGGAACACCGAUGGCGAAGGCAGGUCUCUGGGCUGUAACUGACGCUGAGGAGCGAAAGCAUGGGGAGCGAACAGGAUUAGAUACCCUGGUAGUCCAUGCCGUAAACGUUGGGCACUAGGUGUGGGGGACAUUCCACGUUUUCCGCGCCGUAGCUAACGCAUUAAGUGCCCCGCCUGGGGAGUACGGCCGCAAGGCUAAAACUCAAAGGAAUUGACGGGGGCCCGCACAAGCGGCGGAGCAUGCGGAUUAAUUCGAUGCAACGCGAAGAACCUUACCAAGGCUUGACAUGAACCGGAAUGAUGCAGAGAUGUGUCAGCCACUUGUGGCCGGUUUACAGGUGGUGCAUGGUUGUCGUCAGCUCGUGUCGUGAGAUGUUGGGUUAAGUCCCGCAACGAGCGCAACCCUCGUUCCAUGUUGCCAGCGGGUUAUGCCGGGGACUCAUGGGAGACUGCCGGGGUCAACUCGGAGGAAGGUGGGGACGACGUCAAAUCAUCAUGCCCCUUAUGUCUUGGGCUUCACGCAUGCUACAAUGGCCGGUACAAAGGGUUGCGAUACUGUGAGGUGGAGCUAAUCCCAAAAAGCCGGUCUCAGUUCGGAUUGAGGUCUGCAACUCGACCUCAUGAAGUUGGAGUCGCUAGUAAUCGCAGAUCAGCAACGCUGCGGUGAAUACGUUCCCGGGCCUUGUACACACCGCCCGUCAAGUCACGAAAGUUGGUAACACCCGAAGCCGGUGG
rnacentral:rRNA from 1 species